UACGUAGGGGGCAAGCGUUGUUCGGAAUUACUGGGCGUAAAGGGCGCGUAGGCGGCACGGCAAGUCGGGAGUGAAAGCCCGGGGCUCAACCCCGGAACGUCUUUCGAAACUGCCGAGCUAGAGUGCGGAAGGGGCAACUGGAAUUCCCAGUGUAGCGGUGAAAUGCGUAGAUAUUGGGAAGAACACCUGAGGCGAAGGCGGGUUGCUGGGCCGACACUGACGCUGAUCUGCGAAAGCUAGGGGAGCAAACAGG
rnacentral:rRNA from 1 species